rnacentral:rRNA from 1 species
AUUGAACGCUGGCGGCAUGCUUUACACAUGCAAGUCGAACGGUAACAGGGUGCUUGCACCGCUGACGAGUGGCGAACGGGUGAGUAAUGCGUCGGAACGUGCCGAGUAGUGGGGGAUAACGCAACGAAAGUUGUGCUAAUACCGCAUACGUACUGAGGUAGAAAGUGGGGGACCUUCGGGCCUCACGCUAUUCGAGCGGCCGACGACUGAGUAGCUAGUCGGUGAGGUAAAGGCUCACCUAGGCGACGAUCAGGAGCGGGUCUGAGAGGAUGAUCCGCCACACUGGGACUGAGACACGGCCCAGACUCCUACGGGAGGCAGCAGUGGGGAAUUUUGGACAAUGGGCGAAAGCCUGAUCCAGCCAUGCCGCGUGUCUGAAGAAGGCCUUCGGGUUGUAAAGGACUUUUGUCAGGGAGGAAAUCCCUAGUGCUAAUAACACUGGGGGAUGACAGUACCUGAAGAAUAAGCACCGGCUAACUACGUGCCAGCCGCCGCCGUAA